GAUUACUCAAACUCACAAGAAGAAAAUUCCUAUCUGACCACGGCAGUUGUGCUGAACAGGAUUUGGAAGACCUAAGAUUAUUGCAAUGACCGAUCAUGAUUCCAGGGGAAUGAAAACGAAGCCUACUACCCAUCUCUCAAGACAGGAGGUGUGUUCACAGAGUAUAUAACAAAUCCAGAGAGUGGAGGUUCAA